CACAGAACCAUGAAAAAACUAGCAUGCCCAGCCUAGUUCACUUAUGUCCAUAGGGAUCAUUAAAAUCUACUAAGGGAAGAUGUUCUUUUGCUAGCGCAGGAGAGGAACUUGUCCAGAGUCUCUUCCUUGAUCACUGUCUGCACAAGUUCUAUAUCAUGACCCCUAAUGGGGGCCAGGGGUCAGUAGCUGCUAGAAAGUGCAGCUCUUGUCUGGAGAAAACAUUUAACAGUUUCGCCUGGAGCUGACAGGGUCGUAUCUGGGGAGAGGCUCCCAAGCAGAGAUCCUGAGGCUGCCCGUGCACAGCAUAGAAUCUCCCCCAAAUACCCUCUGAUCACAGGACAAGCUGCCUCCCAGGCAUUCUAUCGAAUAGUGGAUUCACAAGGUUGAGUCAAUUAUGUGACACAGACAGCAAAGGACCUAUCCUGAAAUGUCCAUUUCUUUGUCUCCUGGAGUGCUUUUCACAACCUCUGAAGACCAGAGAAUCAGCUUCUGAAAGCCCAGCCUAGGGCCAACACAGAUGGUCCAUAAAUAUUUGCUAAAUAAAUAACCAAAUGAGUGAAUGAAUGAACCGAAGAAUAGAUUGGAAGCAUACAAAGCUCCUUUUGUGGUCUUCCACAUUUGCACUGGUACCUUUCAACUAUGCUUUUUAAAGAAUAAAUACAGAUGCAUUGAAGCGU